CCGCCGGCGACCGGCGCACGGGUGAGUAACACGUAUGCAACCUGGCCGUGACAGAUGGAUAACCGGGAGAAAUCCCGCCUAAUACAACAUAAUGCCGGGAGGGGACAUCCCCUGCCGGCCAAAGGGGCGACCCCGGUCACGGAUGGGCAUGCGGCGCAUUAGGUAGUUGGUGGGGCAACGGCCCACCAAGCCGACGAUGCGUAGGGGUUCUGAGAGGAAGGUCCCCCACAUUGGAACUGAGACACGGUCCAAAACUCCUACGGAAGGCAGCAG
rnacentral:rRNA from 1 species